AACGAACGCUGGCGGCGUGCCUAACACAUGCAAGUCGUGCGAGAAAGUUCCUUCGGGAGCGAGUAAAGCGGCGCACGGGUGAGUAACACGUAGGUAACCUGCCCCCCAGUCUGGAACAACUAGAGGAAACUCUAGCUAAUGCCGGAUGAGACCACGAUCCCUUCGGGGGUUGCGGCCAAAGAUGGCCUCUACUUGUAAGCUAUCGCUGAGGGAUGGGCCUGCGGCCAUUAGCUUGUUGGUGAGGUAACGGCUCACCAAGGCUGUGAUGGCUAGCUGGUCUGAGAGGAUGACCAGCCACACUGGGACUGAGACACGGCCCAGACUCCUACGGAGGCAGCAGUGGGGAAUAUUGCGCAAUGGGCGAAAGCCUGACGCAGCGACGCCGCGUGGGUGAUGAAGGCCU
rnacentral:rRNA from 1 species